CCGGGGGCGGGAGCUGGGCUGCAAGCCCUGCGCGCACGCGCAGCAGGUCUCCGGGCCACACCGUCCUCAGCCUCCGCCGCGGGCGGCCCGGGGAGCGGCGCGGCGAGAGCCGCCGCCUCUGAUCGUCUGGGGACGGCGGCCGCGGGCCCUCCGCCCCACCAGCUGCCCCUCGCUGCCGAUUACCUGGAAUGCUUUGAAAUAAACCUACUCUGAUUUUACAAGAGCAGGAAAAUAACAGCCUUUCAAAAAGUCCACCGGCCUCUCAAACUGGCUGAGUCAGAGCAGCUGCGGUAACAUCCUACCUUACCUCACAGUCAGCAGCAGCACUGCUUUAUUAACCCAGAGCGUCGUAUGGCAGCGAUGUUCAGAAUACCAAGGGAGCGCAAGCAAAAAGACAAAUACCGUGCAUUCACUUACAUGGCGAUUCAAAGCAACCCUUAAAAAUGAGCACUAUGCUUGCAGAGCGAAGUCUUUGUGUAGUAAAAGCAAUACAUUAAAAAAAAGAGGUAGACGUGGAUCUUUCGAAGGAGAAAUUUAUGUAUGCCUCACCUUGUCGCCAUCAUCGUUGCAAAUGUGAUCUUGAUGGAUUGACUGGCACUGAAAGGAAGUAGCAAUGCUACCUGCAAAAGAAGAAGCUUCAAAAGAUGGUGACCCAAGUUUACAACAAAGAAAGGACUCAUGCUGGGAGUUCACCUGCACCUACAGCUUACCACUGUCCUCCGUAUCUAUCUACGCACAGGCAACUGUACUCUGUGUGAAUGUGUAUACACACACAAAGAUUGAGGUAUAUACAUGUACAUGUAGACGGGUAUACACGUGUAUAUACAGACACAUAUGCACAUAUGCAUAAAUAUAUGCAUACACACAGGUAUAAAUAUUUUACAUAUGCAUAUAUUGUGUUUAUUAUGGUUUUCCACAAGCCCCCAGUCAGUUUUAA
rnacentral:lncRNA from 1 species